CCAGGCUCAGAGGUUGUCGGGGCCUUCAUGCUCGCAUGAAAAGGCCACGAAACCUGGGAGCCGCCCCCUCUAUGAGGAAGAAGCCAUUUUUUGCGCAGCGAAAAAUGCGCGGAUUCCGAAUAGGGGGAGAAUUGCGGGAGCUGCCGGAGGCAGCGGAGCAAUUCGAAG
rnacentral:sRNA from 1 species